GUUAAUAUCAAUAUUGUGGGUAGAAGUUGAUCCCUGUUCACAAAAUAUUGGAAAAGAUUGAGCUUCUAAACUUUAGAAAAAUCUGUUGUCCUAAGUUUCAGCUGCUAUCCCGAAAUAUAAUUCCUAUAAUCACACAAAAGUGAGAACACUUCUACAAUAUGUGGGUCACAUCUGUAUGAGCCUUCUAUUUUGGAAGCUUAACGUUUUAUGUUUCUUUGGUUCUAGGCUGGAAAACAUCUAACAUGAGGCAUGCAUACAACAUCUAGAUGAGGUGCAUCUGAUACAUCAACACAUCUGGAAAUGGGAUGAUUUAAUGUACAGUAGCCUCGUUUUUUACAACACAUCCUGUAUAACUGGGCAUUUUAAAAUUGUCCUUUCAUGUAUUUAAUAUGGAAUCACUAGUAGUUGAUUAUGGCUUUUUGUGAACAAAUCAUCUGCUAUAUAUAGAAUGAUGACUAAAAGAUGAAUGAUGUUAACAGUGUUGACAAGCCUGAAACUCAACACAGUUACAAAAGCAAGGAUAUUUGCUAUUAUUUGAGGAAAAAUGAGUUUUAUAAUCAUGAAAUGCUAUACAUUGCUUAUAAUCAAAGAGUAAAUAUUUUUCCCUGAGGAAGCACCACUAACAAUAACCUGAUGAAUUUGGAAUAAUCAAUAACAACACUUAGACAUUUUGAGCAUUAUUUGUAAAGUGAACUUAAAAUGUUUUAUCUAAGUUAAUUGUAAGGGGAAUGGAUGGCAAUUGUCAAUGCUUUUAAAGUCGUCCUAGUCUGAAUAGCAUAAAAGAAAGAGACUAUGUAUAAAAUGCUGUAGAUCCAGAUGCACACUUUCCCUUGUUAAUGUGUCAGACAGCAAAGAACAGAAAAAAAUGAAAAAGAUGACAGGUCCUGCCCACCCUGUUGACUGAGCUGGAUGACAGUAUAUUUUCCUGUGAUCGUGGGCUUUCUUGACACUGCUGCAGAUUGCAAGAGCAAUGUUUGUGUCUUCAGCAAGCCCCAGGACUCAGGCAUAGCAUACAGUACAAAUCUUCAAGAACAACUGCCACUCUGGGCUUGUGUCCCAGGUAACAGGCAACUCAAUGUGACAGAGAAUAUGGAAACUCCAGAAAUGAGGCAGAAAUGCAGGAUGGCCACACAGAGAUCGGAGGUGGAAGACAGAAUGGAUGGAAAUAUAACAGUAAGGGCUAACCAAAGGGCUUCAAAAGGGAGUGGAAGUUACUUAGGAAGCCCCAGAGAAGCAGAAACAUUUGAUAAUAAUAUUUGGUGUAGAGUCAUAUUAUCUAAGAUAGUUCUCAGAGAUCACAGAAUCAUAGAAUCUUUGAAGUAG
rnacentral:lncRNA from 1 species